rnacentral:rRNA from 1 species
GAUGAACGCUGGCGGCGUGCCUAAUACAUGCAAGUCGAGCGAACGGACGAGAAGCUUGCUUCUCUGAUGUUAGCGGCGGACGGGUGAGUAAAAUGUGGAUAACCUACCUAUAAGACUGGGAUAACUUCGGGAAACCGGUGCUAAUACCGGAUGAUAUUUUGAACCGCAUGGUUGAAAAGUGAAAGACGGUCUUGCUGUCACUUAUAGAUGGAUCCGUGCUGCAUUAGCUAGUUGGUAAGGUAACGGCUUACCAAGGCAACGAUGCAUAGCCGACCUGAGAGGGGGAACGGCGACUCUGAAGCUGAGACGCGGCCCUGGGUCCUACGGACGGCAGCAGUAGCGACUCUUCGGCACUGGGCGAAAGCCUGACGGAGCAGCGCCGCGUGAGUGAUGAAGGUCUUCGGAUCGGAAAACUCUGUUAUUGGGGAAGAACACAUGUGUAAGUAACUGUGCACAUCUUGACGGUACCUAAUCAGAAAGCCACGGCUAACUACGUG